rnacentral:rRNA from 1 species
CCUACGGGGGGCAGCAGUGGGGAAUAUUGGACAAUGGGGGGAACCCUGAUCCAGCCAUGCCGCGUGUGUGAAGAAGGCCCUCGGGUUGUAAAGCACUUUCAGUGAGGAAGAACGCCUGGUGGUUAAUACCCAUCAGGAAAGACAUCACUCACAGAAGAAGCACCGGCUAACUCCGUGCCAGCAGCCGCGGUAAUACGGAGGGUGCGAGCGUUAAUCGGAAUUACUGGGCGUAAAGCGCGCGUAGGUGGCUUGAUAAGCCGGUUGUGAAAGCCCGGGGCUCAACCUGGGAACGGCAUCCGGAACUGUCAAGCUAGAGUGCAGGAGAGGAAGGUAGAAUUCCCGGUGUAGCGGUGAAAUGCGUAGAGAUCGGGAGGAAUACCAGUGGCGAAGGCGGCCUUCUGGACUGACACUGACACUGAGGUGCGAAAGCGUGGGUAGCAAACAGGAUUAGAUACCCCGGUAGUC